rnacentral:rRNA from 1 species
CCGUACACAAAAAUGCACAUAUUGUGAGCUUGAUGAGUAGGGCGGGACACGUGGUAUCCUGUCUGAAUAUGGGGGGACCAUCCUCCAAGGCUAAAUACUCCUGACUGACCGAUAGUGAACCAGUACCGUGAGGGAAAGGCGAAAAGAACCCCGGCGAGGGGAGUGAAAAAGAACCUGAAACCGUGUACGUACAAGCAGUGGGAGCACGCUUAGGCGUGUGACUGCGUACCUUUUGUAUAAUGGGUCAGCGACUUAUAUUCUGUAGCAAGGUUAACCGAAUAGGGGAGCCGAAGGGAAACCGAGUCUUAACUGGGCGUUAAGUUGCAGGGUAUAGACCCGAAACCCGGUGAUCUAGCCAUGGGCAGGUUGAAGGUUGGGUAACACUAACUGGAGGACCGAACCGACUAAUGUUGAAAAAUUAGCGGAUGACUUGUGGCUGGGGGUGAAAGGCCAAUCAAACCGGGAGAUAGCUGGUUCUCCCCGAAAGCUAUUUAGGUAGCGCCUCGUGAAUUCAUCUCCGGGGGUAGAGCACUGUUUCGGCAAGGGGGUCAUCCCGACUUACCAACCCGAUGCAAACUGCGAAUACCGGAGAAUGUUAUCACGGGAGACACACGGCGGGUGCUAACGUCCGUCGUGAAGAGGGAAACAACCCAGACCGCCAGCUAAGGUCCCAAAGUCAUGGUUAAGUGGGAAACGAUGUGGGAAGGCCCAGACAGCCAGGAUGUUGGCUUAGAAGCAGCCAUCAUUUAAAGAAAGCGUAAUAGCUCACUGGUCGAGUCGGCCUGCGCGGAAGAUGUAACGGGGCUAAACCAU